AGAUGUAGCUCAGUGGGAGAGCACUUGCUUAGCAUGCAUGAGGCCUUCCCUGUGUUCGAACCCCAGCACUG
rnacentral:tRNA from 1 species